UGCGUAGGUGGUGCCGUAAGUUGGAUGUGAAAUCCCGGGGCUUAACCCCGGAACUGCAUUCAAUACUGCGGUGCUAGAGUACUGGAGAGGAGAUUGGAAUUUACGGUGUAGCAGUGAAAUGCGUAGAUAUCGUAAGGAAGACCAGUGGCGAAGGCGGAUCUCUGGACAGUUACUGACACUGAGGCGCGAAGGCCAGGGAGCAAACG
rnacentral:rRNA from 1 species